GCCUGGCUAGCUCAAUCGGCUAGAGCGUUUGACUUUUAAUAUCAAAAGGCUGCGGGUUCGAGUCCCGCGUCGGGCU